rnacentral:snRNA from 1 species
GGUCACCAUAAGGAUUUUAAAUU